UGCGUGGACCGCCUUUGGAGGAGAAGGAUCCCUUGAGCUGUCGAAGAGAGCAGAUUUCAAUUGUGAAUCUUCCUAAGGAAUUUGUGUGCUCUCAUAA
rnacentral:sRNA from 1 species